rnacentral:rRNA from 1 species
UACGGAGGGUGCAAACGUUGCUCGGAAUUAUUGGGCGUAAAGCGCACGUAGGCGGUUUGUUAUGUCGGAUGUGAAAGCCCUCGGCUUAACCGAGGAAGUGCAUCCGAAACUGGCAAGCUUGAGUACAGAAGAGGGUCUCGGAAUUCCCGGUGUAGAGGUGAAAUGCGUAGAUAUCGGGAGGAACACCAGUGGCGAAGGCGACUACCUGGCCUGUUCUUGACGCUGAGGCGCGAAAGCUAGGGGAGCAAACGGG